CGAGAAUUUUUCACAAUGGGCGAAAGCCUGAUGGAGCGACGCCGCGUGGGGGAUGAAUGGCUUCGGCCCGUAAACCCCUGUCAUUUGCGAACAAACCUUUUCAUUUAACACCUGAAAAGCUGAUUGUAGCGAAAGAGGAAGGGACGGCUAACUCUGUGCCAGCAGCCGCGGUAAUACAGAGGUCCCAAGCGUUGUUCGGAUUCACUGGGCGUAAAGGGUGCGUAGGUGGUGAGGUAAGUCGGAUGUGAAAUCUCCAAGCUCAACUUGGAAACUGCAUUGGAAACUACCUUGCUAGAGGAUUUGAGGGGGGAUUGGAAUACUUGGUGUAGCAGUGAAAUGCGUAGAUAUCAAGUGGAACACCAGUGGCGAAGGCGAAUCCCUGGAAAAUACCUGACACUGAGGCACGAAAGCUAGGGGAGCAAA
rnacentral:rRNA from 1 species